UUCUAGGAUGGAUUUCAUUAGGCCCUGGUGACUUGAAGACAUAUAACUCGUCUAAGUAAUUUUUAACUUUGUCCUUUCCCUGUUUUAACCUCUGAUCCUACCUCAUUUUCACCGGCAUUCAUUAAGCUAGACAACCAAUUGCUACUAAAUUUCUUUGGUGAAAACUGAAACAAAAAUGUAAUUUAGCACUUCUGCCAUUUCCACAUUUUGGGUUAUUGUUUUUCUCCCCUCAUUUAGUAACGGGCCAUCUCUGUCUUUGGUCUUCCUUUUGCUUCUAAUGUACUUGCAGAAUGUUUUCUUGUUACCCUUUAUGUCUCUAGCUAGUUUAAUUUCAUUUUGUGCUCUGGCCUUUCUAAUUUUGUCCCUACAUACAUGUGUUAUUUGUUUAUAUUCAUCCUUUGUAAUUUGACCCAGUUUCCACUUUUUGUAAGGCUUUCUUUUUUGUUUUGAGUUUCAGAUCAUUGAAGAUCUCCUGGUGUUCAAGCUUAUUAAUGAUAAGGAAGGUUCAGACAGGAAAUGAGGAGUAAAUUUUUAACAGUGAGAGUAACUAACCACUGGAACAACUGUUCACGGGUUGUGGUGGAUUCUCCAUCUCUGGAUGUCUUAAAAUCAAAAUGGAAUGUUUUUCCAAAAGCUAUGCUUCAGGAAUUAUUUUGGGGAAGGUCUAUGGCCCGUGUUAUACAGGAGGUCAGACCACAUGAUUAUAAUAGUCCCUUCUGGCCUUGGAAUCUAUUAUCUUUUAUAUUCCUCAACUGGAUAAGAAUUGUGAUAACAUUAUUGUGUGCAGGUAGAGGUAAGUUUUUUUGUUUGUUUGUUUUUUAUACUAUUUCAGCACGUUCCUGCACGACAUCUCAGCAAACUAGUGAGUAGCUGAGGGUUCUAUGGAGAAUGGCUUUAAAUAAUUUAUCUUCAUAGGAUAAGCAAUGUACUUUGGCCAUGAAGCCUGGAAUAGUUUAAUCAAACCAGAUAUAAUUGAAAGGCCUUGCUUGUGUGUUUGUUUAUGACCUCUGUUUCAAUACAUGGCUACAACGUAAUUUGUUUAAUAUUAAUGGGCACAUAGUCUUAUCAGAGAGGCCAAAGACUAGGGAUGGAGAUUAGAACUACAUUUUCACCCGUAGAGGUGGUGUAUUCAGGUCAGGCCUGAGGUUUAUUGGUGGGAUUACAUGGGGAAACUUGUUCUGCUAUUGCCUGUGCUCUGGAGAGGGAGAAAAUGCCAGUUUCUAAAGUUACCAGUUAGAGAGUGGUGAACUAGCUUAGGUACAGUAAGUGUAAAAUCUUUGUACAUCUUUGGAACUACACUGAGUCUGAUCUUUACUGCAGUCAGGGUAAGUUUUUAGUUAAUUUUUCCUCUGUCCCUCAUUUGUUGUUAUACUUUUGGCCAUCCCUUUAUACUGAGUGUGUACAGCAUUUCAAAGAAGCCAAAGUCUUGUGUGCUCUGGGAACUUCCUAGGUGCACUGUUCACUCUGGAUGUUCUAGUUAGCAGACAAAAUUCCAUAGUGCAACUAUCACACCCAUCACCUCUAACAUGAUUGGCUUCUGCUGGGAAGAGGGCUGAGCACCUUCCACUGAAAAGUUUUGUGGAUGAAUUGGAGCUAUGAGAAUUGAAUCACACAAAUUAGAAUUAGAAAAGGGUUAUUAAAUUGUCUAGUCCAUCCCCCUUCAGGACAGUCCCAUCUGUAUCUUCCCUCCCCCUCAUGAAAAGUGGUAUGUAUGAAAGGAGAGCUAUCCAUAAAAUGUAGGGCUAGAGGGGACCUCAAGAUGUCCUGUGCAGAGGAAGGACCAAAUAAACCUAGACCAUCCCUGACAAGUGUUUGUCUAACCUUUCUCUUACACCUCCGAUGAUGGCGAUUCCACAUCCUUCCUUGGAAGCCUAUUCCAGUGGCUCAACUGUCCGCAUAGAUUUUAGGAAAGACUUUCUAACUAACCUAAAUGUCCCUUGCUGCAGAUUAAGCCCAUUACUUUUUGUCCCAUCUUCAGCAGACAUGGAGAACAACUGAUUAUCCUCUUUAUAACAGCUCUUCAUGUAUUUGAAGACUAUCAUGUCCCUUCAUCCCCAGUCUUUUAUCAAGACAGAACAUGCCCAGUUUUCUUUUUGUUUUUAAAAUUUUCCUCAGAGGUCAGGUUUUCUAAACCUUUUAUCAUUUUUGUUGCUCUCCUUGGACUCUCUCCAGCUUGUCCACAUCUUUCCUACAGUGUGGCACCCAGAAUUGGACACAGUACUCCAGCUGAGGCCUCACCAGUUCCAAGUAAGGUGGGACAACUACUUCCUGUGUCUUACAUACAACAAUCCUGUUAACACACCCGGGAAUAUUAGUGUUUUUUUGCAAUUUCAUCACAUGUUGACUCAUUCAAUUUGCCAUCCACGAUAACCCCUGGAUCCUUUUCAGCAGUACUGCCACCAGUUUUGUGAUGGUAGUACAGCUGAAAAAGAUCUGGGGGUUACAGUGGAUCACAAAUUUGAAUAUGAGCCAACAAUGUGGAGAUAACCAAUUACACACAAGUGACUCAUGGGGAAGUUUGGCACAGGACCUGCACCUCAUAAAAGAACUCCUGAGGCAGUAAGGAGGCAAGGAGAUACCUGUUGGUUCCCAAACUUCCCAUGAAUGCUGCAGUUGCCAGGGUGAAGAAGGAACCCUGUGUACAGCAAAGGCAGAGUGCCAGUGGGGAGGGCAUUGAGGGAAGUGUUGUCUUAAGUUCAGAUGACUUGGAUUAACAUUCCAUUGCUUGGAUGCUUAUGUAAACCAGAACCCUCAAGAGGUUCAGAGUUUAUCCCUCUCUGCAGUUUAUCUGGACCCAUUUCUGAGCACCAAAUUUCCUUUGUACAACUAACUUUUUUUUUUUAAAGGAUUUAAAAUGAAGGAACACGGUAAAACUGCUCCAGAUGUGAGCCAUGGAAAGGUUGGAUGUUGGAGAUAGAACAGAGAUCCAAAACAUGGCGCCACGGAAGCGGCUUCCCUAUUUUAGAUAUUUUUCCUUUCUGAAAUACCUAUGCUUCCUUGGCUACAACGUGACAAAAUUGGGUUGACCCAUAAAUAUUCAUGUGCAGAGCAAAUAAGUUUGGUUAGUUGCAGUUUUCCCAAGGAUUCCUGCAGAAUGGAAAAGGGAGCCAACUGAGAGGGAGAUUCUUGGGUUUUCCUUUUACCUUUCGGAGGGCCCCCAAACUCUUAGCCUAAGAGGAAAACCUGUAGGCAAGACUGACUGUCUUCAUGGCCUGAUGUAUGUUGUCUGUUUGACUUGUGACACCCAGUAAUACUGUAUGCCAUGAGCAGAGCUGAGUAAAUAAUCCACAACAAAUGCAGCUAGCUGGAAAAUUUCUUCCAUGAUGCCUUCUAAGCAAAAAUGAAACUCAAAUUUUGUUGGAUGCAACUUGACAGCUGGCCCGAGAAGAGGAGAAGCACUUGGAUUAAAUGUACAAGGAUUGGCAAAGAAGCAAGGAGUUUUGAGACACAAAGAGUCAGGAAUAACCCAAAUAAAACCCCUAUCCUUAACACAAAUAGAGAAUCUGGGUUUUACUGUGUGUCUGACAUGAAAUGCCUGAUGACCUGGAAUCCCUGAUUUUAGUCACAACAAAGUGUUGUCUGUAGAAAUUAUUAGCUUGUUCUGUUUUGUUGUAGUCUAUUAGUGAAAUGUAUAACACCCUCUAGGCACAAAUCGCUGUCCUCACUUUGAUCAUAAAACAUUACAACUGAAACUUCAAAGGUGUUAGGCAAGUAUCCAGCAUUGGGUCCACCUUUUCAUUAGGAACAAUCUCUUUACGAACUUUCCCUACCCCUACUUGCCAUGGCCCAGAUUUGUAAAGGUAGUUAGGUGUUGCGGCACUCAGCAUCACAACACCUAACUGAUUGAAGAGCCUAAAUCUCAUUUUAAAAAGGGAUUUAGGAGCCAAAAUCCCACUGACAGUGAGCACAGCAAUGCCUAAAUACCUUUAAAAAAACCUUAUGAGAUAAGCUUUCCCCACCCUGCAUUGCAUCACUAAUUAAAGUUGUUGGCUAAAUACAUCCCAUACUGCUGCUUAGAGUGACCUAAUUUGUGCUUGGCAGACUCAGUCAGGAAAGUCAGUCAGUGAAGAAUAAGAUACUGUGUGUGGCUGUAAACAACUCAAUACAACAAAUAUAGCUAGGGAGUGAGAAAUAUUACAUAUAGGUAUUAUUUUUUAUUCUGAAGGUGCACAAUAUGUAAAAACGAUGCCUACCUGUUGUUAAUCUUACAAUAACUGCUUCCUGAGGAAAAACAAAAAUCAGGUUUAGGUAUAUACAUUCUUUCGGACUUACUGUGUGUGCAGUGGGAUAUCUGUGGGGGUGGAGGGAAACUAAAUAACUUCCUAUCUUUCAGCUACUGUACAGCAUCACUUUACAAUUUACCCUGAGCAAGGGGGAGUAUGUUGUUGUUCUACCACAAAAGCAGUCUCCAAAAUAGAUUGGGACACAAUCUCAUUCUGCUUCCCGGUCCCCAGUUUACUCCAGGGAGCAAGUGAACUGUGUUGGAACUUUGCUUAGUACAGUAUGUGUCAUCCAGGGCUAAUGACUAAGGCUAUGAUUUCAUAGAAUCAUAGAAUAUCAGGGUUGGAAGGGACCUCAGGAGGUCAUCUAGUCCAACCCCCUGCUCAAAGCUGGACCAAUCCCCAAUUUCUGCCCCAGAUCCCUAAAUGGCCCCCUCAAGCAUUGAACUCACAACCCUGGGUUUAGCAGGCCAAUGCUCAAACCACUGAGCUACUCCUCAGAGCUCGCAGAAGUCAAAGAAACUGUGACUUCCAGUGACCUCCGUGACUUCAGCCUGCGAUCGUUGGGAGCUGCAGGGUCCCCUGCCAUCCAGGGAGGCAGGGAGCUGCAGGGUAUCCACACCACCUCUGGUGGCCCCCAGAGCUCCAGACCACUACGGGCAACUAGUCCCUGCGCACCUUCCCUGUUUCAGGUGGGUGUGGGAACCCACAGAUCCUCAUUUUGUCACCGGUAUUUUUAAUAAAAGUCACGGACAGGUCUCAGCUUCCAUUAAUUUUUUUUUUUUGCCCGUGACCUAUCUGUGACUUUUAUUAAAACUAUCCAUGACAAACUCUUAGCCUUACUAAUGACAGUCUAAUUCUGUGGAAAUCAAGGCCCUGAUCUCUGCACCCACACAGAACACCACUGAAGUCUAGCAUGUGCAGAUCCAAUUACAUGAUUGCAACCGAAACUUCAACUAUAUGACUUGCACAUUACACUAUAUGCAUCUUUAUCACCUCCAGAUCGGAUUUAUUGCAAUACACCAUCCACAGGGCUAUAUCUGAAGAUCAUUGGAAACUUCAGUUAGAGCAGAAUGUGGUAGCCAACUUUCCUAGUGCUGUUCACAUGAAGCAUAUUACACCUGUGCUCUGUCUGCUAGCUUCCAGUUUGAUCCUGGCACUGCUCAAGCUAUUUUUAACCUGCAAAGCCUUUUAUCAUAAAACUUAUGUUCUUUGUUAGAUUCAGCUGCCAGGUUAGAACAUAAGGGGUGGGGGGAGGUUCUGCCUAAAUGGAAAGUAAAUAUCAGUUGGCAAACAAACCUUGAAAUUGUCAACCUUCAAGGUAUGCUGCAAAACUCUGCCUAUGUGCUCAGGUUUUUUUGUGGAGGGUCUCAGUUUUUUUUAGGGUUGUAGGUGGGGCUGUCGAUUAAUCACAGUUAACUCAUGUGAUAAACUAAAAAAAAAUUAAUCGUGAUUAAAAAAAUUAAUUGUGAGUCAUCACAGUUUUAAUUGCACUGUUAAACAAUAGAAUACCAACUGAAAAUUGUUAAAUAUUUUGAAUGUUUUUCUACAUUUUCAUAUAUAUUGUAUUAUGUGUUGUAAUUGAAACCAAAUUGUAUAUUAUUUUUUAUUACAAAUAUUUGCACUGUAAAAAUGAUAAAAGAAAUAGUAUUUUUCAGUUUGCCUCCUACAAGUACUGUAGUGCAAUCUCUUUGCAAUUGCAUGAAAGUGCAAUUUACAAAUGUGUAAUUUUUUUUGGUUACAUAACGCAUUCAAAAAACAAAACAAUGCAAAACUUUCACUUUGUUACUUUUGUUAUUUGUUUAAUGACUUGCUGGCUCAUUAUUGGGCUAUAAAGGAAAAUCACAAUUAUAUAUUUAUCAGACCUGAGACCUAGAGUCCAUAUUCUUAGUGGAUACAUGAAAUUCUAGGACCAAAAUAAUAAUACUUUAAACUCUUAGUUCAGCUCUGUCCAGCCUUUCUGCCGGAUACACAACAGAGCAACUCUUGUUUUGAGUUCAUAGUUACACAGCUCAGGUAGAAUUACAGUACUCAGGGUACAGGAGAGAUAGAUAUACUCUUAUUCUCCAGUCAAACAGGAGAGAAUGAGAUAACUUCUCCAUUUCUGGAUAGUUUAACUCAGAUUCUCCAGUAGGCAUAACUAAUCAACUGCAUGUACAUAGCAAUUCUACUUUUCUUUAUAAUUCUGCCAGGUAUAGUAAGAUGUAGAAUGACAACGUUUGCCUUCCCAGCCAAAUUACUUUCUGGUCAUUCUUAAUAUUUCAGUAGAUUUUUCCACCCUGAUUGGGUUCCCAGAGGACUCUCAACUUUCCCCUUAAUAGCUAGGGAAUAAUGCCACACUGUUUUUCUGCCCUUGACUGAAUGCCAAGAUGAUGUCAGAUGAAGGCUAAGUGUUUCUGAAUGCCAAAAGUUCUCAUUUUCUCUGCAUACCUGAUGGCUCACCUUCUAGUCACAGAUAACUGUCAUCUGCCUCUCAACGUGUGGGGACAUGUAGGAGUUCUUCCCCUCCCAAACAGCAGCCUAAUCAGUGUCCCAUUAGCUUUGUCCACUUUUCAGUCUGUCUGGGAGGGAUGGAUGAAGCAUAUAUUGUUACUUCUUUUUUGUUUCAACCUACUACAGAGUCAGAGAUAGGGGGAGGAGGCGUGCUGAAGGGUAUGGGAGAGAGUCCAGCACAACUCAACCUCUAAUGCCCCUUCUGGGCAACACUGUCCAGUUGUGUAUCACAUUCAGAGCCCAGCAGCAGGCAGGGCAAAUGGCUGGAGAAUAGGUAUUUGAGAUCCUCCAUGCUUACCAGCUCAUGGAUAGAAGAAUGAAAACCCUCCAUUAAGUGCUUUGAGAGAUGGCCUGUUUUCAGUUAGUGCCUCACAAGUUGGCUAAAUGAAACCUUCAUAGCACUUCUUCAGACAACCACUCUGCCAUCCCUCUCAGAGGUACCAGGCCUGCCUCUGGCAACUGCAGAGCGCUAAGGUUCUGUGUCGAAAUCUGGAAAAGAUGUUCUAAAAUGUCAGAUAGUUGGGGUAAAACUGAGGUAUUCCCAGUGCUGAACAAACUGGAGAAAGCAUGUGCCGGCCUUUUUUCAUCUCCUCCACAGUAUUUUCCAUCACCCUGAAACAAAUUCAUCUGGGUUCAUGUUGGUUCCACUUUAAAUAAAACAAAGCUGUAGGUAUUCCCAUUCCUUUUAUGCAGUUGAAAUGCCAAGGGAAUCAAUGCUGAACUGUCACAAUCUCACUCAUGGCAAAUACCAGGGAAGUCAAUGGGACUAUUAAUGGAGUGCAAGGUAUAACUCGAUGACGGGCAGAAUCUGGCCUUUUAUUACCUGUUAAUCAGUUUAGCAGCUUAGAAGGUAUUUAUUUACUGAUGUUUUGGUCACAAUUGGCAAGAAAAGCAAUAUGAACAAGUGAUAUUAGGCAAACAUGGUACAAGGCAGUUGCAAUCUCUGGAAAGGUUAGGAUUUAAUGGUGCUGGCUUGCACAAUGAGCAAAACUAUUUCCAGAAGCUUUCGCUCCAUUGUUAGAUGUGGUGGGUACUGCAGUGAUAAUUGGGCCUACAAAUUUACCCUCACUGAGCUCAAUGUAUGAAAUGUAUGAAAGUUUAUAAGAUGUUGCAAUAACCUGUAAUAAAUUUUGAUUGGGGAAAAGGUAUAAAAGGGAGACAGACUGGAUUAUUCUAAACAGAAAGGCCAAUUGAUAAAACUCAAGGAUUGUACUAAGAUCAUGCUUGGUAAACAAGAAAAGUGUGGAACCAGAAAUCAGUGAACCAGAACUGAUGUGUCAAAACUGGGCCAAAUUAGUGGACAAAAUGAGGGAAUGGGCUGUUCUGCCCACGAUUUCUUUUGUGGGCCCUUUAAGAGACUUUGGGGAGAAAAACUUUCUAUUACAGCAAGAUUCAUCUUCAUUACUGCCACCCCUACAGUCUCCUGGGACCCCAGACCUUCAUCAUCCUUCAUCAUCCCAGACAGGGCCAGAGAGAGUGAGCCAGAUGACAUUGUCACCUCUACUGGUGCUCCAGCUGACUCCAAAAAUGCCACCUGGGAUAAAACAGGACUGGAUUUUAACUGAAUUUUACGUUCUAGACCAUCUCAACUAUCUUCUUCUUCUCCCCGCAAAAGGACAGUUGUUAUAAUCUUUGGUACUAUCUAAGAGACUGUCCAACAAGGGGAUUAUUCCUUCUAAAAACUCUCUCCAGCUAAAGGGAACAAGGGAUGGUUUAAAUAAGGCUUUCAUUUUAACUCCUCAUUGCAAAUGCUUUAAUUGUGAGUUGCUGUAAUGAAAGGAUUUUUAAUGGUGUGUUUGCCAUUGUACUUAGCAGGCUGAGGUCUCUAUAUAGCAAACCCUGAACCUUGUUUCCGACUGUUUAGUGUUGGACGGUGACUGGGUUAUGUUAACAUCUUUGGCCCACAUAUUCCAUCUAAAUUCAUACUACUGUACAUACCUGUCUCCCUUCUAGGAAACUGUAUACAGUUAGCCAAUGUAACUGAUUAGCUAACAGCAACCUACUCUACUUCCUACCCUUGGAAGCCCAGAAAUUCUACGUUUUUAUCUUACACCAAUAGUAAGAAGCAGGUUGGACUCUCAGGGCCAGAGCUUUAGCUGGUGUAAAUCAGUGUCAAUGAAACUAUGCUGAUUUACACCAAAAAAGGCUCUGGCACACAGCUGCGUUAUUUUAGGGCCAUAUCCUGAAAACAAUUACGUAUAUGUAUAAACAUACUCCCAUGAGUAGCCCCAAGUUAAACACAAGAAUGUUACAGGAUUGUGUACUCAGAGAAUGUAGAAAAUGUAAUCUUCUACAAGACUCGUGGAUUUAUAGCUUUUAAUGCGAGGAGUGACUUUUAUAAUCUGCUAGUCUGACGACCUCCAUACACAGGCCAUAGAAUUUCACCCAGCAAUUUGUUCAGAAAGCUCAAUAAUUAGAGAUCAGGUUCACCCAAAAGUUAUCUUGUAUAACUGUUUCUUUGUACAAUAAAACUGUAUGUAUUAUUACCAUGAGAAAUUACAACAAGAUCACAAAACACAGCCCCUAUUUUGAAUAAAAUAUCCUCCAGCCCAUAAGUAACCCUCAAGGCACUGUAAACCUUUUAAAGGAUGAAAUAAAACUAUUUUAUUA